rnacentral:rRNA from 1 species
CCUACGGGUGGCAGCAGUGGGGAAUAUUGGACAAUGGGGGGAACCCUGAUCCAGCCAUGCCGCGUGUGUGAAGAAGGCCCUCGGGUUGUAAAGCACUUUCAGUGAGGAAGAACGCCUGGUGGUUAAUACCCAUCAGGAAAGACAUCACUCACAGAAGAAGCACCGGCUAACUCCGUGCCAGCAGCCGCGGUAAUACGGAGGGUGCGAGCGUUAAUCGGAAUUACUGGGCGUAAAGCGCGCGUAGGUGGCUUGAUAAGCCGGUUGUGAAAGCCCCGGGCUCAACCUGGGAACGGCAUCCGGAACUGUCAAGCUAGAGUGCAGGAGAGGAAGGUAGAAUUCCCGGUGGAGCGGUGAAAUGCGUAGAGAUCGGGAGGAAUACCAGUGGCGAAGGCGGCCUUCUGGACUGACACUGACACUGAGGUGCGAAAGCGUGGGUAGCAAACAGGAUUAGAUACCCGUGUAGUC